UAGGGAAUCUUCCACAAUGGACGCAAGUCUGAUGGAGCAACGCCGCGUGAGUGAAGAAGGUUUUCGGACCGUAAAGCUCUGUUGUUGGUGAAGAAGGAUAGAGGUAGUAACUGGCCUUUAUUUGACGGUAAUCAACCAGAAAGUCACGGCUAACUACGUGCCAGCAGCCGCGGUAAUACGUAGGUGGCAAGCGUUGUCCGGAUUUAUUGGGCGUAAAGCGAGCGCAGGCGGAAGAAUAAGUCUGAUGUGAAAGCCCUCGGCUUAACCGAGGAAUUGCAUCGGAAACUGUUUUCUUGAGUGCAGAAGAGGAGAGUAGAACUCCAUGUGUAGCGGUGGAAUGCGUAGAUAUAUGGAAGAAUACCAGUGGCGAAGGCGGCUCUCUGGUCUGCAAACUGACGCUGAGGCUCGAAAAG
rnacentral:rRNA from 1 species